AAAUCAAACCCCACUGUACCUGAUCUCAGUGAAAUAAAACGUUUCAACACUUAGAAGAAGAAAUAUCAGUCAGGGCCUUUUGCAGUCAAAUAUGAAGAGAUAUUAGUGGCGGAGUAAUCAUCUGCAUCUGGUAUGAACACAUUUUGCAAAGAAGACAAUGGAGAGGGGGAUAUUAAUCAAGACAACUGCUGAAUGUCAUCUAUGCCUAAAAUGAAUCUCUUGUUGUCCUUGGUUAAAAGCUGUUUAAUUUUGUGGCCAUACUGUUUGUUCUUGUUAAUGCUUUUUUUAAAUGUUUGCAGCCAUGCUUUAAAUAUUGUAGGAUAAACAUAAUAAUCCAUGCAUAAGCAUAUUAAAUGAAAUAGAGGUCA